CAGCAGUAGCCACGGGAAUACGUAGGUGGCAGGCGUUGUCCGGAAUUAUUGGGCGUAAAGGGCUCGCAGGCGGUUUCUUAAGUCUGAUGUGAAAGCCCCCGGCUCAACCGGGGAGGGUCAUUGGAAACUGGGAAACUUGAGUGCAGAAGAGGAGAGUGGAAUUCCACGUGUAGCGGUGAAAUGCGUAGAGAUGUGGAGGAACACCAGUGGCGAAGGCGACUCUCUGGUCUGUAACUGACGCUGAGGAGCGAAAGCGUGGGGAGCGAACAGGAUUAGAGACCCCAGUAGUCCCUGUCUCUUAUAC
rnacentral:rRNA from 1 species